rnacentral:rRNA from 1 species
AGAGUUUGAUCAUGGCUCAGGAUGAACGCUAGCUGGAGGCUUAAUACAUGCAAGUCGAGCGGGAUUGGUAGUAAUACCAUGAGAGCGGCGCACGGGUGAGUAACGCGUACACGACCUACCUUUGACUGGGGGAUAGCCCUGGGAAACUGGGAUUAAUACCGCAUAUAAUUCUGAUUAAUAAAGGAUUGGAAUGAAAGUUCAGGCGGUCAGAGAUGGGUGUGCGUCUGAUUAGCUAGUUGGUGAGGUAACGGCUCACCAAGGCGAUGAUCAGUAGGGGGCGUGAGAGCGUGGUCCCCCACACGGGUACUGAGACACGGACCCGACUCCUACGGGAGGCAGCAGUAAGGAAUAUUGGACAAUGGCCGCAAGGCUGAUCCAGCCAUCCAGCGUGCAGGAAGAAGGCCCUACGGGUUGUAAACUGCUUUUGUCAGGGAAUAAACCUGUGGAUUUACUCCGCAGCUGAAGGUACCUGAAGAAUAAGCACCGGCUAACUCCGUGCCAGCAGCCGCGGUAAUACGGAGGGUGCGAGCGUUAUCCGGAAUUACUGGGUUUAAAGGGUGCGUAGGCGGCUAUGUAAGUCAGGAGUGAAAGUUUGCGGCUCAACCGUAAAAUUGCUUUUGAUACUGCAUGGCUGGAAUCAGGAUGAGGUCAGCGGAAUGUGGCAUGUAGCGGUGAAAUGCAUAGAUAUGCCAUAGAACACCAAUUGCGAAGGC